rnacentral:rRNA from 1 species
UAGGCUCAGAACGAACGCUGGCGGCGUGCUUAACACAUGCAAGUCGAACGCGAAAGGGACUUCGGCCUGAGUAAAGUGGCGCACGGGUGAGUAACGCGUAGAUAACCUGUCUUCAUGUCUGGAAUAAUACGCCAAAGGGGUACUAAUACCGGAUAUUCUUGCUUUUCAUAAGUAUGCAAGCAAAGGUGGCCUCUGCAUAUGCUACUGCAUGAAGAGGGGUCUGCGUACCAUUAGCUAGUAGGUGGGGUAAUGGCCUACCUAGGCGACGAUGGUUAGCGGGUCUGAGAGGAUGAUCCGCCACACUGGCACUGGAACACGGGCCAGACUCCUACGGGAGGCAGCAGUGAGGAAUAUUGCGCAAUGGGGGAAACCCUGACGCAGCGACGCCGCGUGAGUGAGGAAGGCCUUCGGGUCGUAAAGCUCUGUCAAGAGGAAAGAAGUGUACAAUGGCUAAUACCUGUUGUAUUUGACGGUACCUCUAAAGGAAGCACCGGCUAACUCCGUGCCAGCCGCCGC